UAUGGAACCACCGUUGUGUGCUCCGUGCAUUACGUCGAAGGCAAAUACGCCCUCUAAUCGAUGCGUAACUUGCGCGCAUCGGUGGGGCUUGAUAAGACAAUCAAG
rnacentral:misc_RNA from 1 species